rnacentral:rRNA from 1 species
AUGGCCAACAACUUCACUUCUUCAGUUCAGAAGCCCAUUACUGAGACCUCCUCAAGAUGCCUGACAGAAUCCGUCACCAACGCCCACAACUUUGAGGUGACUAGCUACUCGCUGCUCCAGGGUAUGGGUGCCGGCAAGUUCAUUAGCUCAAACACAUUCAACGUCGACGGCUAUGGCUGGAACAUCGGAAUAUAUCCUGAUGGAUGGAAGGAGGAUACAGGUGCCUACAUGUCGGCCUUCUUGUGUUUCUGCAGUGGGACAACAGAUGCAAAGGUGAAGUUCACAUUUAGUUUAUUGGAGAAAGAUAGAGAAGUUAAUAAGCUAGAGAGCACGACAUAUACCUUUAACUAUUUUGAAACGGAGGGAGUAGGUGGUUAUUGGGGCUGGGAGAAGUUUAUUAUGAACUCCAAGCUUAAGGAACUGUUAUCCCGCAAUGAUGACUGCUUCACAAUCAGAUGUGUUUUGACCAUCUUGAAAGAGCCUCGUAUAGAAGAUAGCACAGUCAUAGUCCCAGUUCCACAGUCGGAUCUGCACAUGCACUUCGCAAACAUGUUGAAGGAUGGAGAAGGCAUGGAUGUGACGUUCAGUGUCCGUGAUCAACUCUUCAAUGCACACAGAUGCGUGUUAGCUGCGCGGUCGUCUGUCUUCAAGGCUGAGCUCUUUGGUCAGAUGAAAGAGACCACCAUGAAACACGUCAAGAUUGAUGACGAGCCUUCCAUCUUUGAGGCACUUCUUCACUUCAUAUACACGGAUACUCUGCCAAGCAACUGUGAGGUUGAUCAGAAUGUGGCAUUGCAGCACUUGUUGGUUGCCGCAGAUCGGUAUGGACUGGAGAGGCUCAAGGCUAUUUGUGAAGGGAAACUAUGCCAGAGAAUCGAUGUGCAAACAGUUGCAACCACCCUCACUACCGGAACAGGGCCAUACCCCGACCAACUCAAGAAUGCCUGUCUCAGAUACCUUUCUUCACAGGGCGUGCUUCAAGCUGUCAAGGAGACUGAUGGAUUCAAGAACCUGACAACAAGCUGUCCAUCAAUUAUGGUGGACAUUUUAGACAUAGUCGCCCCACCUUCAGUAGUAUGA